rnacentral:rRNA from 1 species
ACGUAUGGGGCGAGCGUUGUUCGGAUUUAUUGGGCGUAAAGGGCGCGUAGGUGGUUAUAUAAGCUUGGUGUGAAAUACCGCAGCUCAACUGCGGAACUGCGCUGGGAACUGUAUAACUUGAGUUCCGGAGAGGAAGCUGGAAUUCCGGGUGUAGGGGUGAAAUCUGUAGAUAUCCGGAAGAACACCAGAGGCGAAGGCGAGCUUCUGGCCGAGAACUGACACUGAGGCGCGAAAGCGUGGGUAGCGAACAGG